UACAGAGGUCCCAAGCGUUGUUCGGAUUCACUGGGCGUAAAGGGUGCGUAGGCGGUCGGGUAAGUCUGACGUGAAAUCUCCAAGCUCAACUUGGAAAUGGCGUCGGAUACUAUUCGGCUCGAGGAGUGGAGGGGAGACUGGAAUUCUCGGUGUAGCAGUGAAAUGCGUAGAUAUCAAGAGGAACACCUGCGGCGAAGGCGGGUUGCUGGGCCGACACUGACGCUGAGGCGCGAAAGCCAGGGGAGCGAACGGG
rnacentral:rRNA from 1 species